rnacentral:rRNA from 1 species
AUGUGCUUGCGGGAUAAGGAUCUCUGGCUUAUGUGGUGCCCACUGAUAUGCAACUGGGCGGUUGAGUUUCAUUUGCCGCAUCGCGUGUAUCGUCAGUUUGGUCUUUUCCAGCCUCACCCGCCGGAUUGGUCACUUCAUAGGUUGGAUAGGAGAAGGCAACGGAAGAUAAAGGACUGGGCCAAGCAUCAUUCUGCGUAUGUUACCCGCUUCCAGCUUUGUGUGGAGCAAGCUCGUAGCACUGCACGCGCCCCGCUUCGUGAGCACAACUCACUUGCUUUUGAUAACUACGUACGAUGGUUUAUUGGAACUACUCGAGUUGAGAUAUGCCCGCCGGCAUAUAAUGAGGAUAUUCUUGAAGAACCUGUAAACUUUGAGGAUCUAGCAAAGGGGAAGUACAACAGAGAUGUCAGGCUAGGGCAAGGAGUCCCUGCUGUUCCGGUGAUUAACUAUGUGCGCACCGAGAUCAAGAAAGCAGCUGAUGAGAGCCAGUCUAUUCUGGAGAAGACACCGGUUGGAACUGGCAAUGAUGAUGGUUCACUACGAGCAUUCCUCAAGCGUCAGGCCAAGAAGUUAAGGCGGUUAUCGAACCUUCUCGGUUGCCGUGAUCCUGAAUAUGAUGAACCAUCUGCCUCUAGGUCUGGUACACCAUCAGACCCCGCACCUCACCAUGAGGGGGACGAUGUGAGUUCCUCAUAUGCUUAUAUGGAUGAUGAGGGUGGGAUCACCCAAGAGGGUGAUGAGCUUGAUGAUGACAUGACUUUGGCGGACGCUCAAGCUCGGUCCGCAUAUGUGUUCAAGACUAGGCAGCCCAGACGCCGGUACACGCCCAACGACUAUGACAAUAGAGGCAACCCAAAGGUGGUCGUAGGGACCUCGCGGAUGGCUAGCUUGGAUGAUGAGGCGGAGGCGGAGGCGGAGGCAGAGGAGGAAGUGCACGAAGAGGAUCCUCGUGCUCCUAAGAAGAAGAAGCUUGCCUGCAGGCGUGCCACCAGGAACACGCGCGGAAGGCAUUAG